rnacentral:miRNA from 12 species
CGGCUCAUCGUAAGGCAGUUUGC